rnacentral:rRNA from 1 species
UACAGAGGGGGCAAGCGUUAUUCGGAAUUAUUGGGCGUAAAGGGCGCGUAGGCGGCUUGGCAAGUGGAUGGUGAAAUCCCUCGGCUUAACCGAGGAACUGCCGUCCAAACUGCUUUGCUUGAGACCGGGAGAGGUGAGUGGAAUUCCCAGUGUAGCGGUGAAAUGCGUAGAUAUUGGGAGGAACACCAGUGGCGAAGGCGGCUCACUGGACCGGUACUGACGCUGAUGCGCGAAAGCGUGGGGAGCGAUCCGG